rnacentral:rRNA from 1 species
GAUGAACGCUGGCGGCGUGCCUAAUACAUGCAAGUCGAGCGAACAGACGAGGAGCUUGCUCCUCUGACGUUAGCGGCGGACGGGUGAGUAACACGUGGAUAACCUACCUAUAAGACUGGGAUAACUACGGGAAACCGGAGCUAAUACCGGAUAACAUGUUGAACCGCAUGGUUCAACAGUGAAAGACGGUCUUGCUGUCACUUAUAGAUGGAUCCGCGCCGCAUUAGCUAGUUGGUAAGGUAACGGCUUACCAAGGCAACGAUGCGUAGCCGACCUGAGAGGGUGAUCGGCCACACUGGAACUGAGACACGGUCCAGACUCCUACGGGAGGCAGCAGUAGGGAAUCUUCCGCAAUGGGCGAAAGCCUGACGGAGCAACGCCGCGUGAGUGAAGAAGGUCUUCGGAUCGUAAAACUCUGUUAUUAGGGAAGAACAAAUGUGUAAGUAACUAUGCACGUCUUGACGGUACCUAAUCAGAAAGCCACGGCUAACUACGUG